rnacentral:lncRNA from 1 species
GAGGUCACCUGCCCUGCCCAGCAGCCGCAUGGAGAUCACCCAGUAGCCCUCAGGAGUCGGGGCUCCCACUUGUGAACCGGGAGCUCAGCUGAGACUCUCUGCGUGGCCAACCCUCUCCAGAGACCGGCUCCACCGCCAGCCAGAUUGGAUGCUGAGCGUGUCCACACAGCACGCACUCACUGGGACUCAGCGUGCUGGGACUCAGCUCCCCGCCGCCCAGUCCCUCGGGCCUAGAGGUCCACGAGGCGAGACAGACCCAAAGAGAGAGGCAAGGACGUGGGCGUUGGUCGGUCUUGCGGGGAGGAGGUGCCGUGCUCUCCCCACUUCCUGACCCAGCAGAAAGCGCCCGGGCGUGUCCAGAUAAACCGCGCCUUAAUCGAGGCGCCAUUCCGGCCCGGAACAGGCCAGGCCCAGGGUGCAGAGUGGACACUCCCAGGUGUCCAAGCCGGCGAGCUCGGGUCCCGCAGAACCGGCGGCCCUGGAGACGCCCCGAGGGCAGCCCCGCUGCAGCCUUGCUCGGGUCCCCUAGCCCGGCGCCUCCGCAAACCAACCCACCGCGGGCCGCCGAGCCCCGCUCCGGGAUCCGCCGGCUGCCUCCAUCCCAGAAGAGUGCGCAGAGAAUUAAAUCUAGAUAUUUACAUGUUUAAUGGCUAAAGGAGCCUGUCUUCUGGCAGGGCAGGGAGGGCGCUCAGGUGGUUUAACUCAGCGCCGGGAUCCCGCUCAGCUGCGGGGGCCGCGAACCCCGCCGCUGGGCCGACGAUUGGGCCCCUCCGGAGCGCGGCGCCCAACGCGGGUUUCGUUGCGUCGGGGAAGUCCGUGGCCUGCAGCGUCCAGUCCCCAGGCUGUCAGCCGAGCCCUGGAGUGGGGCGUUCUCCAGGCCCCCAACCCCUGAUCCAGGCCGUUCCCCUCCCGCGCACCCUCCGGCGGGGGCUGCAGCCCGCGCCCCUCGCCGCCAAGCCCCAUUUUCCCACAGUGCAAACUGCAGCAAACGAACUGGUUUUCUCCUGAGCGCACGCUGCGGGGAGACGAUUCCAACGGCGUCCAGUGAGGAGGGGCCCAGGCCUGCGAGACGGGGCGCGUUCCUGUCCCCAGACCCCUCCGGCUGCGCCUCAACCCCCAGCCCGGCUCUCUGACCUGCAUCGGUCGGGCCGGGCACAGAGGAGGCAAAGCAGGCGGAGGCCGCGAGAGGAGAGCAGCCUGACCUCCCGCCUGAGCCCGGACCCUUCCCCUCGGGCACCCUCGGACGCCCCCGCCCCAGCGUGUUACUUUCUAGAUGGGGAAACUGAGGCGCGGCCAGGGCGAUGCGGCGGAAGUCCCGCGCCCGGCCGUCUCCCGCGCCUGCCAGA